GACGAACGCUGGCGGCGCGCUUAACACAUGCAAGUCGAGCGAGAACCAGGGCUUCGGCUCUGGGGACAGCGGCGAACGGGUGAGUAACACGCGAGUAAUCUGCCCUCGACACUGGGAUAGCCCGGGGAAACCCGGAUUAAUACCGGAUAGCCUUUCGAGCUCUCGGGCUCGUCAGAAAAGGAUGGCUUCGGCUUUCGGUUGAGGAUGAGCUUGCGGCGGAUUAGCUUGUUGGUGAGGAACGGCUCACCAAGGCGACAAUCCGUAGCUGGCCUGAGAGGACGAUCGGCCACACUGGGACUGAGACACGGCCCAGACUCCUACGGGAGGCAGCAGUGGGGAAUCUUGCGCAAUGAGCGAAAGCUUGACGCAGCGACGCCGCGUGAGGGAAGAAGGCC
rnacentral:rRNA from 1 species